GGCUCAGAAUCAACGCGGGCGGCGCGCCUAACACAUGCAAGUCGAACGAGAAAGCGGGAGCAAUCUCGCAAGUAAAGUGGCGUACGGGUGAGUAACACGUGGGUAAUCUACCUUCUGGUGGGGAAUAACCUUGGGAAACCGGGGAUAAUACCGCAUAAGCUCGAGAGAGGAAAGCAGCAAUGCGCCGGAAGAGGAGCCCGCGGCCGAUUAGCUUGUUGGCAGGGUAAAAGCCUACCAAGGCUGAGAUCGGUAGCCGGCCUGAGAGGGCACACGGCCACACUGGCACUGAAACACGGGCCAGACUCCUACGGGAGGCAGCAGUGGGGAAUCUUGCACAAUGGGGGAAACCCUGAUGCAGCGACGCCGCGUGAGCGAUGAAGCCCUUCGGGGUGUAAAGCUCUUUCGGCAGGGACGAUAAUGACGGUACCUGCAGAAGCAGCUGCGGCUAACUACGUGCCAGCAGCCGCGGUAAUACGUAGGCAGCAAGCGUUGUUCGGAGUUACUGGGCGUAAAGGGUGCGUAGGCGGUCCUUUAAGUUUGGUGUGAAAUCUCCCGGCUUAACUGGGAGGGUGCGCCGGAUACUGAGGGACUAGAGUGCGGGAGGGGAGAGUAGAAUUCCUGGUGUAGCGGUGAAAUGCGUAGAUAUCAGGAGGAAUACCGGUGGUGUAAACGGCUCUCUGGACCGUAACUGACGCUGAGGCACGAAAGCGUGGGUAGCAAACAGGAUUGGAUACCCUGGUAGUCCACGCCCUAAACGAUGCAUGCUUGGUGCGGGUGAUUCAGUUCAUCUGUGCCGGAGCUAACGCGUUAAGCAUGCCGCCUGGGGAGUACAGUCGCAAGGCUGAAACU
rnacentral:rRNA from 1 species